rnacentral:rRNA from 1 species
UGGGGAAUAUUGCACAAUGGGCGCAAGCCUGAUGCAGCCAUGCCGCGUGUAUGAAGAAGGCCUUCGGGUUGUAAAGUACUUUCAGCGGGGAGGAAGGCGAUAAGGUUAAUAACCUUGUCGAUUGACGUUACCCGCAGAAGAAGCACCGGCUAACUCCGUGCCAGCAGCCGCGGUAAUACGGAGGGUGCAAGCGUUAAUCGGAAUAACUGGGCGUAAAGCGCACGCAGGCGGUCUGUCAAGUCGGAUGUGAAAUCCCCGGGCUCAACCUGGGAACUGCAUUCGAAACUGGCAGGCUAGAGUCUUGUAGAGGGGGGUAGAAUUCCAGGUGUAGCGGUGAAAUGCGUAGAGAUCUGGAGGAAUACCGGUGGCGAAGGCGGCCCCCUGGACAAAGACUGACGCUCAGGUGCGAAAGCGUGGGGAGCAAACA